UAUCCAGCGGUGUUAGGGCACUAAGAAUUUUGAUUUCUUAAGAGAGGUUCGUUACCUCCUGAU
rnacentral:tRNA from 1 species